GAAAAGCAUUCUGCCUUCUGGGUUACCUUCUGUAGUAGGAAACAAGCAAGAAAAAGAUUAAGGAGGAAAAAAUAUUCUUCUUUCUAUUUAAUUAAAUGAACUUUGCUGUUGCUACUGUUUUCUGUUUUAUCACAAAGGCAUUUGGAAACUCUGCUUUUAAAGGAAUCCUAUAGAAAGGCUGCCAGCAGAAUUUGUAUUUCCAAGCCAAACUUCUCUGAGGAAACUGAGCAGCAGUGUGGGCUUCUGCAGCACCUGGGGCUGUCCUGCAUGUGCUGGAGCCUUACAGGUAAAACUUCAGCGGCCAAAGCCGGGAUUGUAACUCGCAGCAGCUCAGAACCCCGCGGCGCGGCAGAGCCUCUCAGCUCCGCGCCCUGCGGCUGCUGCGCGGCACAGCCCGGCUGCGCUGUGGGAGUUGG
ensembl:lncRNA